rnacentral:lncRNA from 1 species
ACUGCGCCCUUGUUUGGACAAGACGAGGAGGCGCACUCAGAGUCAGAGACCCCGGGGCAGAGACAGGGGCAAGAAGAAGGGGCCACCGAGACCCCAAGAGAGUCAGGGAGACAGACGCACCAAACGACCGACACAACCAGGGACAGCAGGGAGGAAAAGUUGCCUAUCUGUUGGGUCAGAUUUCUGAAGACUGAUGAGGCCCAUUUUCUGGCUGGAGUGAAAUGACAUGAUCUCAGCUCACUGAAACUUCUGCCUCCCAGGUUCAAGCAAUUCUCCUGCCUCAGCCUCGCGAGUAGCUGGGAUUACAGAUAUCCUUCGAGUUGGAUUUCGACUGGGUUCUGCCAGUGGGAUGUAUCCAUGCGAGAUUCUGGAACUAACAUCAGAGAGAGUCCAAGCUUCUAACUUUUAUCAGCGGCAGUGACAAUAGUCAAGCAGCAUUGAUGACAAACGGCAAGAGUUUAGAAAGUACCAGUGACGUGCCUGAUAGAAUCUCACCACAAGAUGGAAGCCAACUCGUCAGAAGCCUGGAAAGCCCACCCAGCGUGGGACCUCUGUGGGUCCAGGAUCUUGGAAUGGUAUCCCAUGGUUCAAUCUUCUGGAUUCAACCACAUAAAUUUACCCCACCCAUGUCGUGGACCCAAGCUUCCUACCAUGUAUACUUAGCUUAAAUGCAAGAUAGUACUAUUUUGUUCAUCUUGAUUGGAGUGAGAAAUGAAUAGGUCCAUGCACAUAUAUUUCUUUUACCACAACAAGAUGAUGAAGAAAUAAAUCCAUAAUAUCGAUACUUUUGUAUAAGUUGUGUUUACAGUUGCGGUAAGAAAUUUUAUAAUUGUUGAUUUGCUUUAUAUAAUUUCUGCUUGCUUUUUAUGAUAUUUAAAACAAAAUCUAAGCAACAAAUUUUAUGUCUGAUUAGAUUUACAGAAGCUGCUUAAGUGCUUAGGGAUAAUUUGUUCAUCAUAUUUGUAAGUCUCCCUUGUUAGGUGUUUGAAGUGUUUGAAUUGGCUAAAUUAAAUUUGUAAUUGUAGUUUGAAAUAUCUAAAGGAAUUUUCUUAAUUAAGUGUUUAAAUGAUGUUAAAAGUUUGUGGGAAUUUAAUCUAUCAAAUUUAUGAGUUAAUUGAAUAUGAAUCAAUGAACAAGUAAAUGUGAUCUUGCUUUUAUAUAAAAACUACUAAGUUCAUAAAUAAAAUACAAAGAUCCAUAAGUUG